UAACCUGCCCAUAAGAGGGGGAUAAUCCAUGGAAACGUGGACUAAUACCGCAUAUUGUAGUUAAGUUGCAUGACUUGAUUAUGAAAGAUUUAUCGCUUAUGGAUGGACUCGCGUCAGAUUAGAUAGUUGGUGAGGUAACGGCUCACCAAGUCAACGAUCUGUAGCCGAACUGAGAGGUUGAUCGGCCGCAUUGGGACUGAGACACGGCCCAGACUCCUACGGGAGGCAGCAGUGGGGAAUAUUGCGCAAUGGGGGCAACCCUGACGCAGCAACGCCGCGUGCAGGAAGAAGGUCUUCGGAUUGUAAACUGUUGUCGCAAGGGAAGAAGACAGUGACGGUACCUUGUGAGAAAGUCACGGCUAACUACGUGCCAGCAGCCGCGGUAAUACGUAGGUGACAAGCGUUGUCCGGAUUUACUGGGUGUAAAGGGCGCGUAGGCGGACUGUCAAGUCAGUCGUGAAAUACCGGGGCUUAACCCCGGGGCUGCGAUUGAAACUGACAGCCUUGAGUAUCGGAGAGGAAAGCGGAAUUCCUAGUGUAGCGGUGAAAUGCGUAGAUAUUAGGAGGAACACCAGUGGCGAAGGCGGCUUUCUGGACGACAACUGACGCUGAGGCGCGAAAGUGUGGGGAGCAAACAGGAUUAGAUACCCUGGUAGUCCACACCGUAAACGAUGGAUACUAGGUG
rnacentral:rRNA from 1 species